rnacentral:sRNA from 1 species
UAAUGAAAAUGAAAAGAGGGAUAUGUUAGCUCACAUCCCUCUUAUGUAGAACCGUUUAAGACGGUAGCAGUUUUUUAUAAGUUAAAA